UACGUAGGGUGCGAGCGUUAAUCGGAAUUACUGGGCGUAAAGCGUGCGCAGGUGGUUUCGCAAGUCGAGUGUGAAAGCCCCGGGCUUAACCUGGGAAUUGCGCUCGAAACUACGAGACUUGAGUGUGGCAGAGGGAGGUGGAAUUCCUGGUGUAGCGGUGAAAUGCGCAGAUAUCAGGAGGAACACCGAUGGCGAAGGCAGUUCUCUGGGCCGUAACUGACGCUGAGGAGCGAAAGCGUGGGGAGCGAACAGG
rnacentral:rRNA from 1 species